AACUGCCCCUAAGAAAUGUUGUCAUUAUUGUUGUGCCAUUGUCUUCUUAUCUACCUUUCGUCAAUCCCUAACGCCAGAUCACCUCUUUCUUCUCCAAAUCACCCUCUUCAACAUCCUCUCAUCCUCCUUCUCACUCACCAUCCUCUAUUUCUAACCCUAAACCUACAACUCCGUCGCCUCUACAAACCAAAAGCGCUAACAAACAGCCCUUAGUUAUCGACAAUUCUCCUUCAUUAGGAUCAUUUACAAACACUUAAAAACCACCACCACCACAAAUCUGGAGAACCACAUCGACCCACUAGAGAUUUACGAGAGAGAGAGAGAGAGAGAGAGAGAGAGAGAGAAAGAUAAGAGUUGGCGGUCACCGCAGCGGCGGUCAGCAACCCCGUGGUUUAGCAAGGUGUGAAUCGGCGGUGACUUGGGAACUAGGAUUCAAUGGAUUCCGGCGAUCGGUAUGGAUUAACGGUAACAGGGAUAAACAGGUUCGUGUCGGUCUGGGGAUCAAAGGGAGCAUCAGGGCCGAAAUCCAAAGUUCGAACUUCAGUCACGAAAGAAACUUGGUAUGUGGGACUGUGUUCUUAUGUGAUAGCACGCGACGACAGUGUACUGGUGAAGGACGAUUGUGAAGCUGGUGGUGGAUGAUACGAUGUUCGGGUUUGAGAUGGAGGUAGGGUGGGCGUAGGGGGUGGUGAUGGGUAGUAGUUUGGGUGGUGGUGCCAGAAGGUAGAACAAAUAAAAGACGACAAUCACUCCCUCUACGUUCAAUAAAAAGCAUAACCUUUAUUUGUUUAUUUUAUUUUACUUUUUUUUUACUUUUUUAUCACUCUAAGUUCUCAAAUGGAAUGAUCAUAGGAUAUUUUACUAAUUGAGGAAAAUCGUCACCUUGAUUUGUGGAUGAUCAGCGACGCUGCAUGAUUACCAGGAACAAGGGACAACAAAAUUGAGGACCAUUGGCACGCCCACUUGAACAAGUGCAGCCUAAACAAAAUCAUGAAGUUGUUUAUGAAUGGAAAGAGGAACAAAAUAUUAACACUUAACAGGAGACAAAAUAAUUUUCAAGAAACAUCACAGAGAAUAAUGAUUCAAGUUCAGGCCCUGCAUACAAAUCAUUACAGAGGAUCUUUGAUGAUUCAAGUUCAGGUCAAUGACUAGGACGAUUCAUCAUUGUUGAAACUGGCCUAUUAAAGUUCAGCCACCGCAAAAGGAAACAUUCGCCAUUUAAAAAUGUGAGGGGAACAUUGUGUUUUUAACAUGGAACCAACCGAUGAAAAUAAAUCUAUAACUGAAUGGAGGGAAUUUUUUUUAAGAAGAGUUCUUAAGGUGCAGUCAGCAGUUGGCAGCAACACAUACAUUUGAUUGUAUUGUGGCUGAGUGAAUUCUGAUAAUGACCAAUGGUUAGAUAAAUAUGUCUAGAUGAGUGAUUAUGAAACUCUGAACACGACAUGUUUUUAUAUGGUUAACGCAUCACAUAACGUGUCGUUAGCCUUAAACGACGAAGGCAUUGCCGCCGCAACGCGCGGCGGGUACAAAUACUAGUAUAGUCUUAAAUAUAAAGGUCGGUGACCCGACCAAAUGACAUACCUGCCCCUAAGAAAUGUGUCACCAAAUGACAAUACUGCCCCUAAGAAAUGUUGUCAUUAUUGUUUUGCCAUUGUCUUCUUAUCUACCUUUCCUCAAUCCCCAACGCCAGAUCACCUCUUUCUUCUCCAAAUCACCCUCUUCAACAUCCUCUCAUCCUCUUUCUCACUCACCAUCCUCUAUUUCUAACCCUAAACCUACAAAAAUGGCCCCUGCCACAUUCUUCUUCUACAUGCAACAAAACAUGGCUCAUUCUCUUUCUUUAUCUCCUGUCUCUGUGUCUCUCUGUGUUUCUCUGGGAUGAACGAGGAAGACGAAGACGAUAGCGGACUCCGGCAGUCGGACUCUGGCCGUCACGGUGAUUUGGAUUCGGUCUGAGAUAACCCCCAGCAGAUUAGCGUCGUCUAGGGCCAGUGAACGGCGACGAUUCAGUUGUUAAUUUGACCGGUUCCGACGAGUAGAUGAGUGUUUGCCCAGAAUCCGGUCACUACAGAACUCAGAACCGGCGAGUAAGGUAAAUUUGAGCUUUGUUCUUUUCAGUUGUAUAAUUUUAUCAACAAGUGAUGUUCAAUUUGUUGAUGGUUAUGAUUCUAUUUUUUUUUUCUUAUGGGUUGCUUUGUUCCAAAUCCAUGUUAGGUCUAUGAAUUUAAGAGGUUUUAGGAUUAAUUAGACAGAGAUGAUUGCAUCUUAAUUGAGCUUGAUAUCAAAUUUAUUUAUUAGCUUGAUUUGGAGGAACAACGGAUUCUAUCUUCUGAGUCUUUUGGGCUUUUAUAGUUUGAUUUAUUAUAUAGGGAACAUAGCUUGAAGCACCAGUUGAAUGAUUAAAUGCAAUUUGUAUUGAAAGCUAAGCAAUCCUAAUCAAAUAACCAAUAUU